GCAGUCAUCGAAGAAAUGAAGUUACAGGAGGGGCGCACCGUCCUUUUGUCUCUGCCUUCGAGGUUGGCGGGAACUGAAACUGCAGAGCAUGGGGGUCCCUCGUACCCCUUCACGGACAGUGCUCUUCGAGCGGGAGAGGACGGGCCUGACCUACCGCGUGCCCUCGCUGCUCCCCGUGCCCCCCGGGCCCACCCUGCUGGCUUUUGUGGAGCAGCGGCUCAGCCCUGACGACUCCCACGCCCACCGCCUGGUGCUGAGGAGGGGCACGCUGGCCGGGGGCUCCGUGCGGGUGAGUGAGCGUCCGGGGGCUCCGUGCGGGUAGUGGCCGGAUCCGCUGGGGCUGCACACCCCGGGACAGGGGCGGAGGUGGUGGCGGCAGGCAGAUGCCUGAGGUAGAGAUGAGCAAACCAGGUUCAGCAAUCCUGGGUGCCCUGUGGGGGGCUGUGCCCAGGUCUCUGGACGUCCUGGUCAGCGGAACUUCCUCCUCUGGGCAGUGGGGCGCCCUGCACGUGCUAGGGACAGCGGCCCUGGCGGAGCACCGGUCCAUGAACCCCUGCCCUGUGCACGAUGCUGGCACGGGCACCGUCUUCCUCUUCUUCAUCGCGGUGCUGGGCCACACGCCUGAGGCCGUGCAGAUCGCCACGGGGAGGAACGCCGCGCGCCUCUGCUGUGUGGCCAGCCCUGACGCCGGCCUCUCGUGGGGCAGUGCCCGGGACCUCACUGAGGAGGCCAUCGGUGGUGCCGUGCAGGGUAGGCGGGCAGGGUGCGGGUCUGGGUCCCUUUGAUUGGCCACGGUCCACAUGGAAGGGAGAUUCCAGCUGGAAAUUUCCAUUCUGCCCCACCCCUGCCUCCAGCCACAAGGGAACCAACCAUCCCUCUCCCCAGGACUGUCCUGCACCUCCCGUCCUAGGCAAAUCCCUCUCCUCAGGACUGUCCUGAGCCUCCCGUCCCAGACAAAUGGGUAUUGAUCGCCCCCCAGUCACCCAGUGGGCAGGAGCAGGCCCCCCGUGGCUGACCCAAGAGUCUCUCUCAUCCCGCCCGGUAAUCUCUUUAUCUGCAGAGGAGAAAGCUGGAUGCUGAGGUGUCUCUCAGCUCCCAAACCAACAGCCACCCCGCCCCGCCCCUUCCUCUUAUUUACUCCCUUCUCACCCUGCCCAGAGCCUGGCCAGGCCUCACCCACAACUUUCCCUCCACCCCGUCCUCUGUGGCUACCUGACCCUGGUCCACGGGAGCCACAGCAGGGAGUGGAGCAGACACACGGCCGACCCAGGGACCCCACCGCAGGGCCUUGUGCCCCCGACUGCCCUCCGCUCUCUCUGUGUGGGCAGCGCUCGCCAGCCUCCCUGGGUGCCGUCCACCUGGGCUCGGCUGCUAGGGGCUGUGAGAGGCUUGUUCAGCCUGGGAGGACUCAGGGCGGCUGGGAUGAGUCGUGUGGAAGGGCGGUCAAAACCGAGGCACCAGCCCCUCCUUCCCCGUCCCCCUGUGCCUUCCUCCAUCCCCCCGACCUCGGGGACCCAGCAACCCCUCCCACCUCCGCCCUCCUCCCUGCAGACUGGGCCACGUUCGCCGUGGGUCCCGGCCACGGCGUGCAGCUGCCCUCAGGCCGCCUGCUGGUGCCCGCCUACACCUACCGCGUGGACCGCCGAGAGUGUUUUGGCAAGAUCUGCCGGACCAGCCCUCACUCCUUCGCCUUCUACAGUGAUGACCACGGCCGCACCUGGCGCUGCGGAGGCCUCGUGCCCAACCUGCGCUCAGGCGAGUGCCAGCUGGCGGCGGUGGACGGUGGGAAGGCCGGCAGCUUCCUCUACUGCAACGCCCGGAGUCCCCUGGGCAGCCGCGUGCAGGCGCUCAGCACUGACGAGGGCACCUCCUUCCUGCCCGCAGAGCGCGUGGCUUCCCUGCCCGAGACUGCCUGGGGCUGCCAGGGCAGCAUCGUAGGCUUCCCGGCCCCCGCCCCCAGCAGGCCAUGGGAUGACGGUUGGUCAGUGGGCCCCGGGAGUUCCCUCCGGCCUCCACUCCUCGGUCCUGGAGUCCAUGAACCCCCAGAGGAGGCUGCUGGAGACCCCCGUGGAGGCCAGGUGCCUGGUGGGCCCUUCAGCCGUCUGCAGCCUUGGGGGGAUGGCCCCAGGCACCCUGGCCUCAGGCCUGGGGUCAGUGGGGAUGUGGGGUCCUGGACCCUGGCACUCCCCAUGCCCUUUGCUGCCCCGCCCCAGAGCCCCACGUGGCUGCUGUACUCCCACCCAGUGGGGCGCAGGGCUCGGCUACACAUGGGUAUCCGCCUGAGCCAGUCCCCGCUGGACCCGCGCAGCUGGACAGAGCCCUGGGUGAUCUACGAGGGCCCCAGCGGCUACUCCGACCUGGCGUCCAUCGGGCCAGCCCCUGAGGGGGGCCUGGUUUUCGCCUGCCUGUACGAGAGCGGGGCCAGGACCUCCUAUGAUGAGAUUUCCUUUUGUACAUUCUCCCUGCGUGAGGUCCUGGAGAACGUGCCCGCCAGCCCCGAGCCGCCCAACCUUGGGGAUAAGCCUCAGGGGUGCUGCUGGCCCUCGUGACAGGCCUUCUGGCCGUGCCCAUGCCCCUUGGGUGCCCGGGGCAGAGGAGUGGAAUACGCUAGGGUGCCCCAGGAUGGAUGUGGGGGGGGCUCUUAGUGCAGGAUCCUGUGGAUUAGAAACAAGUUGCUCCUCAGAGCUCUCAAGCAGGGGCUGCUCUUUAGGAAGGGGAGUAGCGGCUGGGAGUGAGCAGGGCAGGGUGGAGGCAGGGUGGGGGCAUGAAGUGGGCCCUGGGUGACCCCCACAGCUCCCUUCCGAGGCUGCAGGGCCAGGCGCGGGACCGCAGGCAGGGUGUUGUGGGUGGCAGCACUUGCUUACUGGUUGCUUUCUGGCUCGAAAUAAAGGAAUCGUGCUUGUGU
rnacentral:sRNA from 1 species